rnacentral:rRNA from 1 species
GGAAUUCGAUUCAGGCCUAACACAUGCAAGUCGAGCGGUAACAGGUUAAGCUGACGAGUGAAGAAAGGGUGAGUAAUGCAUUGGAACGUUCCCGGUCGUGGGGGAUAUCGCAGCGAAAGCUGCGCUAAUGCCGCAUGCGAUGAGAGGAUGAAAGCGGGGGGCCGUAAGGCUUUGCGCGAUCGGAGCGGCCGAUGUCAGAUUAGGUAGUUGGUGGGGUAAAGGCUCACCAAGCCAAUGAUCUGUAGCUGGUCUGAGAGGACGAACAGCCACACUGGGACUGAGACGCGGGCCAGACUCGUACGGGAGGCGGCAGUGGGGAAUUUUGGACAAUGGGGGAAAGCGUGAUCCAGCAAGGCCGCGUGCAGGAAGAAGGCCUUCGGGUUGUAUUCUAAUGAGUACGGAGCGAAAAGAUCCCCUUUAAUACAGGGGGUCAUGACGGU